UACGAAGGGGGCUAGCGUUGUUCGGAGUUACUGGGCGUAAAGGGCGCGUAGGCGGCGCACCAAGUCAGGCGUGAAAGCCCUGGGCUCAACCCGGGAAUUGCGCUUGAGACUGGUGUGCUCGAGUACGGGAGAGGAUAGUGGAAUUCCCAGUGUAGAGGUGAAAUUCGUAGAUAUUGGGAAGAACACCGGUGACGAAGGCGGCUAUCUGGACCGUAACUGACGCUGAGGCGCGAAAGCGUGGGGAGCAAACAGG
rnacentral:rRNA from 1 species